ACAUCUUUCAAAUCAUACCAUACCAAUAUAAGUGUAAAAUUAAGUGUCAGAUAAAUCAUAAAUCAUAAAACGCUCAUCUUAUAAGUUAUGAUACCAGGGUUGUAAAACUAUUGCGACUAGGGAAAAUUCUCUAUAGAUGCUUUAACAGUAAGCAUACAAAAUGACUAAGCUCUCCCACUUUGCUUUUUGGUUCUGGAGUCACUUGUUGAAACAGCUGAUCCAGAAAGCUUGUUAACCUCAUAGAGCAACACAGCCGAGAACAGGAAAC
rnacentral:lncRNA from 1 species